rnacentral:rRNA from 1 species
UUGAUCCCUGGCUCAGGACGAACGCUGGCGGCGUGCCUAAUACAUGCAAGUCGAGCGGAAUGAUGAAGAAGCUUGCUUCUUCUGAUUUUAGCGGCGGACGGGUGAGUAACACGUGGGCAACCUACCUUGUAGAUUGGGAUAACUCCGGGAAACCGGGGCUAAUACCGAAUAAUCCAUUUUGCUUCAUGGCGAAAUGUUGAAAGGCGGCUUCGGCUGUCACUACGAGAUGGGCCCGCGGCGUAUUAGCUAGUUGGUAGGGUAAUGGCCUACCAAGGCGACGAUACGUAGCCGACCUGAGAGGGUGAUCGGCCACACUGGGACUGAGACACGGCCCAGACUCCUACGGGAGGCAGCAGUAGGGAAUCUUCCACAAUGGACGAAAGUCUGAUGGAGCAACGCCGCGUGAGUGAAGAAGGUUUUCGGAUCGUAAAACUCUGUUGUAAGGGAAGAACACGUACGAGAGUAACUGCUUCGUACCUUGACGGUACCUUAUUAGAAAGCCACGGCUAA